UUUUAAUUAUGUUGGUGGAUUCAAUUUGGUAAAAUUAUUUUCAAAAUCCAAUUGGUACCACAUGCAGCUAGAAGAGUCUAGAACAUUACAUGCAUUUGAUAAUUGUUACACUUAAUAGGAAUAACAUUUAUGCCAAAGAGUCUAAAACAUUACAUGCAAAUCAAUAGGUAGCUUAUUAAAAGUAACAUAGAAUUAUUUUUCACUUAAUUGUUACACUUAAUAGCAAUAACAUUUAUGCCAAAGACAAUCUGGUCUUUUAUGAUUACGACAUUUGCAAUCCGCAUUGGUUUCGCAGGGGGUGAAAGCUGUAUUUCAAAUAAGAAUAUAAAUGAAUGUUACAAGAAGGGGGUGUGAAAGAUUUUAUAUAUGAUAAAUAAGAAACAUUUAAAUGGAUGUGAAAAUGGACUUACGAUGUUGGCUAAUUACAGCCAGAAUUAGUGAUAGGAAGAUGAUGAAAACAUAAAGAAUUUUUAGAAUUUCAGCCAUAUUAUGU
rnacentral:lncRNA from 1 species